rnacentral:rRNA from 1 species
UACGAGGGGGGCGAGCGUUGUUCGGAAUUAUUGGGCGUAAAGGGUGCGUAGGCGGUUCCGCAAGUCCUGUGUGAAAUCUUCGGGCUCAACUCGAAGUCUGCACGGGAAACUGCGGGGCUUGAGUGUGGGAGAGGUGAGUGGAAUUCCCGGUGUAGCGGUGAAAUGCGUAGAGAUCGGGAGGAACACCAGCGGCGAAGGCGGCAAACUGGAUAGGCACUGACACUCAACAACGAAAGCGUGGGGAGCAAACAGG